AUGGAAAGUAGAAGCAGAGACCGUAAAAAAAGUCACACCUGGAAAUAUUUCAAUGAAAUUUCGUCCGAAAGUGUGACAUGUAAGCUGUGUGCGGCUGUUCUGAAGCGGACGAGUGGGAGCACAACAUCCAUGUUAAACCAUUUAGAAAGGAUCCAUCAUCUGUCGUUAAGACAUAUCAAAACUCAGCGAGAGUUGAUGGCUGCCGUUAGAGAUGGGACUGCAGAGCAGUUUGCGUUUCAGUAUGGACUGGAGGGAACAACAUUUAAGAAUGAGAAUGGGGAGUGUUCCAAGAGCCAUCUGUCCAUCAUCAAAGUGGAACAACUGGACCCCAUUCUCCCUGAACAAAACAACUCCAGCUGUGGUUCUGGGUCACCUGGGGAUCCUGGGCCUCCUGGCUCGUCUGGUUUUGGGUCCAGUAUGAGUCCAGCUGCACAGUUCUUCAGGAAGUGCCACCAGGCAGGCUGCACACAGUUCAUCUUCUCGGAGUUUGCCUCCCGCCUCAACACUAUCACUGAGAGGAUUUCAUCCCAGCAGGCCAGCGAAGAAGAUUUCAACCUCACCCUGAAAGUGCUGGAGGCCUCUGGGAUGCUGCCAGAGAUCUUUGCAAAGAGAGACCAAGAAAUGGAGAAGAGACUGAAGGAUCUGCAGAGAGAGACUGAAGCGGUGAGGACUGCCAGGUCUGCCAUGAGAGAUGCCUGUGUCAUGAGCUUCACCCCAUCAUGA
rnacentral:lncRNA from 13 species